AUUGAACGCUGGCGGCAUGCUUUACACAUGCAAGUCGAACGGUAACAGGCCGCAAGGUGCUGACGAGUGGCGAACGGGUGAGUAAUGCAUCGGAACGUGCCCAGUCGUGGGGGAUAACGCAACGAAAGCUGUGCUAAUACCGCAUACGAUCUAUGGAUGAAAGCGGGGGACCGUAAGGCCUCGCGCGAUUGGAGCGGCCGAUGUCAGAUUAGGUAGUUGGUGGGGUAAAGGCCUACCAAGCCGACGAUCUGUAGCUGGUCUGAGAGGACGACCCGCCACACUGGGACUGAGACACGGCCCAGACUCCUACGGGAGGCAGCAGUGGGGAAUUUUGGACAAUGGGCGCAAGCCUGAUCCAGCAAUGCCGCGUGCAGGAAGAAGGCCUUCGGGUUGUAAACUGCUUUUGUACGGAACGAAACGGCCUGGGUUAAUACCCUGGGCUAAUGACGGUACCGUAAGAAUAAGCACCGGCUAACUACGUGCCAGCAGCCGCCGUAAUAC
rnacentral:rRNA from 1 species